CCUACGGGUGGCUGCAGUGAGGAAUAUUGGUCAAUGGACGAGAGUCUGAACCAGCCAAGUAGCGUGAAGGAUGACGGCCCUAGGGGUUGUAACCUUCUUUUAUAUGGGAAAAAAGAAGAGUAUGCAUACCGACUUGUAUGUACCUUAUGAAUAAGGAUCGGCUAACUCCGUGCCAGCAGCCGCGGUAAUACGGAGGAUCCGAGCGUUAUCCGGAUUUAGUGGGUUUAAAGGGAGCGUAGGUGGCUUGUUAAGUCAGUUGUGAAAGUUUGCGGCUCAACCGUAAAAUUGCAGUUGAAACUGGCAGUCUUGAGUACAGUAGAGGUAGGCGGAAUUCGUGGUGUAGCGGUGAAAUGCUUAGAUAUCACGAAGAACUCCGAUUGCGAAGGCAGCUCACUGGACUGCAACUGACGCUGAUGCGCGAAAGUGUGGGGAGCAAACAGGAUUAGAUACCCGAGUAGUC
rnacentral:rRNA from 1 species